rnacentral:lncRNA from 1 species
UUCACUUAAGAUAUAUAAAUGUGCAUUCAUUAACUAUGCUUAUGAUGCAAGGCCAAUGCCUUUUUUUGUUGUUCUUUCCAAUCUUUUUCCUUACCUUUUUUGGUUGUCUUACCAGAGUUUGACAACAAUUAUUUAGCACCUUAGCUUCCUAGAAAAACAAUCUGAAACUUUUUUUGCAAUUAAUGACUUAGUGAUUUAACUGAUAUUUAUCCAAUAUCAGUUCAUUGAGCCAUGCAAUUACAGUGGCAAGGGCAACCAGACCCCAUUUGUGUAUUAACAAUCAACUUAGAUGGAUGGAUUUUGCAUAAAAAUUCAGCAAAAAAAUUGAUGUCAUCUUGGAUAAAGUUGAGCUUAGGAGUUUGUUGUUUCUGUAAAUGUUCCCUGAUAUUUCCAUUUCUUACUGCCAACAUAUCUUCUCACAAGAGUCAGCAGUGUUCUAAGUAAUUUGCCUGGC